AUGUCGCUGAGCGAGAAGCUGGAAGCGGCGCGUAUCGCCCUGGGCAAGCGCAAGGAGCGGGAGCUGCAGCAGCUGGGCCCCGCCCCGGCCCCGGCCCUAGCCCCAGCGCCUGCCGCUGCGACUAAAGCCGAGCUGUCCAAGCCGGCUCGGGCCGGCAACAACAACAAGCUGCUAGCCGGGAACCUGGCCCACGAGUUCCUGACCCACGGCACGCUCCUGGGCCGCCGGAUCGAGCCGAGCCAUCACCACCAACCCGCUGCCGCGGCCGCCUCCCCGCGGCCCGAGCCCGAGCCGAAGAGGAGGUACGCGGAGCUGUCCUGGCUGCUCAUGACGAACGGGGCCCACAUCCCCGGCGUCGUCAACCCCACGCAGCUCGGCCGCUGGCUCCAGAUAAAGGAGUGA
rnacentral:rRNA from 1 species